AUGUUGGAAAACCCUAAUAUCUUCCCAUCAGCCGUCAUUUCUCCCACAUCUCUUCCGUUUCCCUCCUUACUCUCUUCAAUCUCAUGUAGCCUCGGUUACUACCAACUCUAUCUCGCUGCCACCAUCAACGCCACCAUCGCACACCGGAAACCCUAACCCUAAAGUGAAUUUCUUAUCGACAGCAUCAAUGUCACCAUCGCACAUUUGAGGGUCCACCAUCGACAUAAUCUCUUCAAAACCCUAGCUUCUACCAUUACCGUAUAGUUGAUUUGAAGGUAUGAUAGGUAUAAGAGAAAAGAAGGGAGUGGUGUCGGAUAAUAUUUUUCCUCCUUCUCUUUUCUAGCAUUGUCGAUCGUGCUGUGAGGUGAAGGGGCUCUGAUUUGAUUCAUAGAGUUAUGAGGUGCAUUGCUAUUUUUCAACAUUUUUCUUCAACUCUCUGAUCCACAAAGUUAUGAUCAUUUCUCAAUUACAGUUCUCGACCCUCUCUGUUUAUCCGCCCAAAUGUAGGUAAGAACAUAAUGAUUAUUGGCCCUAUCUUUUGUUUAACCAUUUGGAUUUCUUGAUUUGUGGGUUUUUAUGUUUUUUUGUUGAAACAUUGGAAGAACGAGCAAAUCACUUUUAUGAGCUCUAAGUCUAAUUUUAUAUGUAUUUGUUUGUGGCUGCCUUCGACCUUCUCUGCAUUUAUCUGUAUACAACUGACGAACACAUGUGUAUUGAGCAAUUGAUCAAGAAGCAAGAGGAAUCUAUUUCACAAAUAAUAGUUUCAAAAGGUUUAAAAGAAAUCUUUCUCAAACCAGGAGGUAAAUAUUCUAACGAGUUUGAUUUUAAUCCAUUGAUCAAUUUUCUGAACCCCAUACCUCGAGUUGUGUGUAUACUCAUCUAUCAUCGUUGCCCGUCUCCUUCCUCAAAAACCCACACCCUCUCUCUCUCUCUAACCCUUUCCAUCGUGACGUUAAAUUUAUCCCCAAUGAUUUUUCAAGAAAAGGUGAGUUCAUAAUAUGCCAUCUCCAUUGUUGUCUCUUCAGAAUCCUAUUCUUUAUUGGAGGAUCAUUCCCAAAUCCUUAUUUUUAAUCGAAUUUACACAGGAAAAAAGUAAAAGAUUUGUUAGCCUGUUUGUAUUCAUCUUUAUUGUAUGAACCUCACUACUUGAAUUUUUAAAAUGGUUCCGUUCACUGAGGAUGAACAAAAUAUGAAUCCCGGAGCAGGUGAUGAAGGCACCACAAACAAUGACAACAAAUUUUUAGUUUCAGAUUUAGAUACGGUGAAGGAAAAGUUGCAAAAAAUUGCUUUUAGGAGAGGAUUUGUCUGGUGUUUGAAAGGAUGUUUCAUUAGCUCAUGCUUUGUCAAAUGCCAUUACGAAUAUAGCAGGUUUUACACAUACUAUACUUAUACGUUCUGAUUUUCAAAAUCAUAAUUCAGUUUUGAUUUUCAAAAUCAUAAUUUUAUGUUUGUGUAUGUGUGUGGUUGUGUUCUGAUUUUCAUAAUCAUAAAUCUAUGUGUGUAUGUGUGGUGUGGCAUGGUGUGUAUCUAUCUAAGAAUAAAUAAAUCAUAAAGUACAAGGAUUGAAGAUUAAAGUUAUUGUAGAAAGAAAUGAAUUUAGGCUGGUGUGUAUGGUGUAAGUGGUUGUAUGCAAAUGGAAAGUUUAAGGUUUGGCUUAAAUGCAAGAAAUAGCAGUACACUUUCAAGUAUUUGUUUCAAUUGUUUUAGCACUUGAAUGAUUUUGAUGAAACCAAGCUUGGCAUGUUCUUUUAGGGAAUGAAAAUGGCUUCUUGUAGACCAACGGUUCCGAGACAACCAAGAAUCUCUCCAGUGGUGGUAGGGUAUUCUUUCUAUUUGCGGGUCUUGACAUGCUUUCAUUUGUUGCUGAUUUCUGGAAAUAGUGACACACUUGCUUCACU